rnacentral:rRNA from 1 species
CAGUAGCCGCGGGAAUACGAAGGGGGCUAGCGUUGUUCGGAAUUACUGGGCGUAUAGCGCACGUAGGCGGAUAUUUAAGUCAGGGGUGAAAUCCCAGAGCUCAACUCUGGAACUGCCUUUGAUACUGGGUAUCUUGAGUAUGGAAGAGGUGAGUGGAAUUCCGAGUGUAGAGGUGAAAUUCGUAGAUAUUCGGAGGAACACCAGUGGCGAAGGCGGCUCACUGGUCCAUUACUGACGCUGAGGUGCGAAAGCGUGGGGAGCAAACAGGAUUAGAUACCCCCGUAGUCCCUGUCUCUUAUAC